UACAGAGGGUGCAAGCGUUGUUCGGAAUUAUUGGGCGUAAAGCGCGUGUAGGCGGCUUAGCAAGUCGGGUGUGAAAGCCCUCGGCUCAACUGAGGAAGUGCACCCGAAACUGGCGAGCUUGAGUACGAAAGAGGAUCGCGGAAUUCCCGGUGUAGAGGUGAAAUUCGUAGAUAUCGGGAGGAACACCGACGGCGCAGGCAGCGUCCUGGCCGCUUGCUGACACUGGAGGCACGAAAGCUGGGGGAGCAAACAGG
rnacentral:rRNA from 1 species